rnacentral:rRNA from 1 species
UAUGUGAUCGUCUCUCGCAUAUCAAUAAGCGGAGGAAAAGAAACUAACAAGGAUUCCCCUAGUAACGGCGAGUGAAGCGGGAAGAGCUCAAAUUUGAAAUCUUAAAGGGUUUCCCUUUACGAAUUGUAGUUUAAAGAAGUGUUUUCUGUUGAGGUUUUGGUAAAAGUUCUUUGGAAUAGGACAUCAUAGAGGGUGAGAAUCCCGUAUUUGACCUUUACUUUCAACUUUGUGAUACACUUUCAAAGAGUCGGAUUGUUUGGGAAUGCAGUCCAAAAUGGGUGGUAAAUUUCAUCUAAAGCUAAAUAUUGGCGAGAGACCGAUAGCGAACAAGUACCGUGAGGGAAAGAUGAAAAGAACUUUGAAAAGAGAGUUAAACAGUACGUGAAAUUGUCAAAAGGGAAGCGUUUGACACCAGUGUUGUUUUUCUGAAAAUCAAUUAAAGAACUGUUUAUGCUAAGUUGUUUAGACUUUAUCAGCUAACUGUUUAGUUUUGAGCUUUUCUUUAAUGCACUUUUCAGUUAACAAGUCAACAUCAAUUUCUUUUGCUGUAAAAAAGCUUGAGGAAGGUGGCUUGAGAUUCGUCUUAAGUGUUCAUAGCCUCUUGCCUAUGCAGUCGGAGAGAUUGAGGUCUGCAGCGUAGAUCCUUCGGGGCUAAAUGCAUUUGUGCUAAGUUAUAGCAUUUUAUAGACAACUUGUUGACUAUGAUUUGUCUUGUAGCUUACUCGCUUAUGUUAUUUUACCUACGCUUAGGAUGUUGAGUAGCGACAUACGCAC